AAAAAAAGAAAGAAAUUAAAAGCGGAUGGGGCAGUUCAGCCUUUUCUCGCGGAGGCGGGGCUAGGCGGAGUCAGGGCUAGGCGGAGUCAGGGGCGGGCCGCCACAGCCUGCACCAAUCAGGACCCGGUUGAUAGGCAGAGCCUGGCGACUUCGAAGACACGCCCCCCGUCAAAGAGCCACGGGGAUUCGUUUCCGUAUGCAGCCUGGAAACCAGCCUGGGCCUAUCCUGCGCGCCGCUGCGGGCUACUAUUGGCUGCCAAGAAACCCCGCCCAUCUUCCUGCUCAUUGGCCGGCGCGGUUUACGUAAGAGGAGCCUGUUGCUGAGCGAAAAGUCUGUUCUGCAGUUUUCGCUAAGGAGUUGUUAGCGCUGAAACCGUACUGGGCGUUCUGAGGUCAAAAAAACAAUACUAGCCACAGUUUAUUAAACUGCAACUAAAUGCCA
rnacentral:lncRNA from 1 species